GGUGAUAUUUGUAACCACUUUACACCACUUUCUAGACUAAUUGUACCACCUUUAACCGAAAAUUCAGAGUAAAAAGAUGACUAGGUGCAUUUUUACUCAACUUAGGUGUAAUUUAUACAGUACUUUAGGCUUUUCUUGCAACUAUGGUGUAAUUUCAUGUUCUUAUGUUUUUACACCUCAGCCUUUUGGUAGUAAAAUUAUUACCCAAGGGUAGUUUGAAUCUCAUGCGGAUAAUAAAUGGCUAGUUGGUAGCAUAAAUUUACACUAGCGUGGCUCAGCUGAUUACCGCAAAACCUAAAUGGAGUAAAUUUACACCGUGGGCUUGAUGAGCGAUGGAUUGUUAGGUGUGGUUUUAUGCUACAUGGUUAUUUCACUCUUCAAGGAUAUAUUUUUACAGCUUGGAGCGUUAUUUUACAACAGUGUUCCACGUGGCCAUUUUAACCGCCAUUUUGAAUCGCCAUUUGCAUGGUGAACUGUGAAGCGUGGGGUGGCGUGGAUGAAGCGCGGCAGUUCCCUAUACACCGUGCAUACUGCAUAUAUCGUGAAGCGAGGCCUCCGGUGCGGCGAAGCAUGCAGUGUCUGCUAGACGACCAAAACUGCGGCAAGCAGUGAACAACAAAGUCGUGGCACGACCUGACCCCUGAUUAUGGGGACUAGUGAGGAGCCAAAUGAGUUAAAGGAAAGAGUCGUCAAGAACAUCCAGCAAGUGUGUGACGAACUGGUGGCGCUACUCGCCUACGGACGCUGGGCGAUCUCAAGAACGAGCAGAGCUCCGUGAGUGUUCACUUCUUCAGUCGUCCCGCCUCAACGUUCAGGGAGCACUGGGCCACUUUAAGCUGUCAAAGUCAAAGGUCGGUGAAGUUGCCACAAUCCUUGCAGCCCAUGCCCCCAUGUUUUGUCUUCCGUUCCGUGGACCAUGCAAGCAUAUAUGUACCUAUUCGAGGUGCUCUACAAGAAAGCCCUAUAGUUCGUUUUUCUUAAGUUCGACCCUCACUGUAAACAUCUGUUUGAACACAGCACGAGAAUUGCUAGCUGAACUACUUAGAAAACUGGUUAGCGCACAUUGAAUUAGAGGUAUGAAUAAUAUUUUCAAAAUAGGUUGUGAACACUGAUGAUGUACCGUUAUGUUAAGGGGACCCUCCCUUCCCACCUUCAAAAAAAAUUAUGAAUUGGCAUGAAAGUGAUGUCGCUCGGUUCAGAAA
rnacentral:lncRNA from 1 species